GCCUUUGUGGUGUAGUGGUCAGCACGCUGGGCGCGUAUUCCAGAGGUCCGUGGUUCGAGUCCUGGCGAAGGCG
rnacentral:tRNA from 1 species